CUUUCCUCGGUCGGGCUGUCCGGUGUCGCUUGUUCUUUAUCGGCAUAUCUGCAGAUACAAAUAUUACAUCAAUACUAACGAUGGUACAAUCUUGUCCAUAUGAACGGGUUCCCAGAUAUUUUCAACCAAAUCAUCAGAGAGAGUUUUCCUUACAACGCCCUUUACAUAUACACGGACAUUAAUAAAUAAAUACGAUUUUUCAAGCAAGCCUAAUCUGCUUACGUAUGGCGGGAUCGUCGUUAUUAGAAUGACACAUGGCGGAAUAUUUGGACACGAAGAAAUCGUAGCGUG